GGCGGCGUACCCAAGUGGCUAAGGGAGCGGUCUGCAAAAUCGUGAUCGAGGGUUCGAUUCCCUCCGCCGCCUCCA
rnacentral:tRNA from 1 species